ACUUUCUUACUUCCUUUGGCAUUGCUGGCAUUUGUCAAAUUGCCAAAAAAAAAAAAAAACUUUCUACAAUGGAUGUUAAUGUCUUUGAUCACUCAAAGACAGAGGUUGAUGAGGAAGCAUUCGACUACCUGUUGACAUGACAAGACCUUGGACCGAUGGUGAAAAUCUUGGUAGCACAUUUGACAAAUGAACAUGGAAAAAGCCCUUCCUGUAGUUUAAAGGAAGAAUCUGCGAAGAGAAUCAUCUCCCUAUUCCUAUGCUUGGUUGACCCCAGGAGCAAGUUUCGUUAUGUUGGAACAGCAAAUUGUCUUCCAUUUUAAUGCCGGUUCACCUUUUGCCACCCUCUCAAGUCACCGCCACGUAAGACCGGGAAAGAUCUCAGCUAGGCAAACGUGAUCGUCUUGUGAAAUUCAUCAAGACUGUUACCAGUAUCCAAGGGCAGUUGGAUGGCAUUCGAGAGAGUCUCCAGCUGUAUCUACUUGUUGUUGGGCUGAUGAGAAGUAGGGUCCAGUCUUGUUUUAUUGUAAUUGUCCAAUAUGCUCUACUCUGUAAGACCUGUCCAUUGUGUAUAGCUUUCUGCAAAACACUGUCUAUGAUAUAGAUGCAGAAACCACCAAAUGAUCAUGAUCACAAGUGUAAUAUUGUAAAUGUAAGUGUAUUAUUUAAAUAGGAGAUUGAAAAAAUAAAAUUGUGAGACAUGAGUA